AACAACAAAAACAACAACAACGGUGAAUCCCUGCAUUACAUGUAAAUAUAAAACUAUGAAAAUGUACUGUUCAUUAAUGAAGCUUCUUUCUUCAGUACAUCAAGAAGAAAAGUAUAGUGGAGCAAGACUCUUUGUAUCAGCCAAUUAACAAGAGCGGCCAGUCGACGUACGACAUACUGACGCAGCGAUCGACUGAAGAAGGUCGAUCUGGAGGGGGACGCAAGCGAGGAGACGACAGCACUUACACGGUAAGAGCUUCUUCAUCACAGGAAGGAAGUUUAUUAGCAGCGCGUUGAGAAGAAUAAUCCAUCUGAAGCGCGUCAGUGACCACAGAGGCACCUGCGGCACUUUCCACCGACGAUGAGACGCAAAACCACCAUCAGAAACCCCAUCAGAUCAACCUGCAGAAACUCAAACUGAACGUUACA